AUUGAGGUCCUGAGAGGACAGAGGUCUGAGGUCUGAGCAGCUCAGAGCUGAACAGACAGAAACCAGAUUACUGGACGUAUCAGGCUCUGCUCUUUAAUCAGUUUAAUCAGUUUGUAAUGAAGCUGAUGUGAUCAGGAAGGAAAAGCUCCUGUUCAGUGUCGGAGCUGACGGACAGUAAGAUCUGUUCCUGAUCUCAGACUCUAACACACUGACUGGGACUGAGCUUCCUGUUCCUUCACACACAUCAAACAGGUUCUAAUGAGCCCGUGAGCUUCUUCAGACCUGUGUGGUAACCAUGGUAACCAGGGUCAGUAGUGUUAGUCUGUCCUCAGCCCAGAGACCGACCCGGGUCACAUGGAGCGCUCCCUGCUCUGCUGUGUCGGCCAUCUUGGACGCUCUCUGCCUGUCAGCCUUCGUACGUCUCAGUGAGUGAUUUGUCCCUGUGGGCUGUUAGUGGAGGGAGGCAGAGAUGAUCUGCAGGAUACAGGACUGUCUUAUCAGUCUGCUGGUUUUUCUAUCAGGACUUUAACUUCAUUAAAAGAUGGGAACACUUCCUGUGGCCCUGCAGCUCGUUAGGAGUCUGCUCCUCUGUGAUUGGCUGAUGUUCACAGACGCUGGUUAAACCUGAGUCAGUCACUGAGUGUGUGUGUGUGGUGUGUGUGUGUGUGUGUGUGUGUGUGUGUGUGUGUGUGUGUGUGUGUGUGUGCUGACAGUAAACAAUAAGCUCAGAUGGAUCCAUCAGUCUAAUGGAGCCAUGUCAGGUGAGUGUGAGUCUCUUAACGAGCUCGUUAAUCAUGUUUACAGAGUUAAUUGAGCUCAUUAAGAGGAAACUGCCUCUCUGUAAUCACCACUCCUCUUCCACUAAGAUUUAAUUACACUCUCUGUCCAAUCAGACGUCACGAUUCUGACAUCAGCCAACCAGCGCCGGCGGGGGCAGGACCUCCUGUGAUUGGUCCAGACAGGAUAAUGAAGUCUCCCACACUUCCUGCUGAAUAAAGAACAACAUCCUCUGAACAGAGAGUUUCAUAAAGAGGAGAGAGGGAGAGCUGGGCUCUAAUCUGAUUAUCCACAGCAGCUCAUUCAGUCACAGUGUACUGUCAGGACAGGUGAGUCAGGACAGGUGAGUGAUGGAGGUUUACUGUCAGGCGUUGUGUGAGGACUGUGUCUCUGAGAUCAGUGACCUCUCUGAUCUGACCCAUGUGAUGCAGUUUGAUUAUAGAUUUAUUAUUGGAUUCUUCACUGUGUGAUUGGUCAGACUGAAGGUUUAAUACCUUUACCUGAGCGUCAGAUCACCUGAGUGAUGACUGUGCUUGUCUCUUGUUCAGUAAAGUGACUGUGAGCUCAGUGUGAGGAUCUGUUGGAUUCAUGUCAGUAAAAGUCUUCAGCUGUAGUUUUAGUUUGAAUGUUUCACUGUUUCUUUCUAAAUGUGUUUGAAUCUGGUUUUGUGGAGCAGCUUUGUUGUUGUGUCUCUGACACUGACGUGUUUUAUAGUUUGUUACUGUCUGUUGACUGUAAACUGAACUGAACCUUCUCAUGUCUGGAGCCAUCAGAUUAGCUGCAGACAGACAGACAGACAGACAGACAGACAGACAGACGGGAGAUGAUGAACUGCUCCUUUAACGUGGUUCUCCUCCUCCUCCUCCUCCUCCUCCUCCUGCUGUAGAUCUCUCUGUUGUUCACUGAUGGAUUUCAGUGUGGGAAGUGUUGCCCGUAGCAACCGGCCCUGAUUCUCUAGGAGCUGUAACUGUGCAGUUGCCAUGGAAACCACAUCCGCGACACGCAGCAGCUACCACCACACGACAACACGACACUAAAAACACCUCAGUUACUCCUGCCUCACUCUCACAGUUCAGAAGUCCAUUGGAAAUUUGAACAUUUUUCAAACUAAAAUCAAAGAAACUUUAAACCUGCUGCAGUUAGAAAGAAACAAACAUCAGACAGAACUCAAACGUCCAGAAACCCUGAAGAGACUUUACAAAGAUGUGAAAGUGAAGCAGGUCAGAAACUAAAUCAUUCAUCAGGUUCAAUCUGAACCCAGAUCAACCUGAGAUCCUGUGGUUAACAUGCUCACUGAGCUGAGUCGUCCUGCAGCUGACUGCAGAUCAGUUAUAUAAGGUGGAGUGUGUCAGUGUGUGUAGGAGCAGCUGUGUGUUGAUGUUCCAAAAACAGAAAGACACACACACACACAAAAGCAGGUGUACAGUUCACUACACACCAAACAUCAGGUCCACAGCUCUGUAUUGUUACUACUGACAGUCUGACCAUAUUAGUUCCCUCUACUACAACGAAUCUACUUACUGCUAAUACUACUGUCCAUACUACAACUACUACAAACCCACAUCUAUUACUGCUAAUAUUAUUAAUACUGCUACUGCUACUAAAACCAAUCGGCAGUAUAUUAGUACUAUUACUGCUGCAGGUACUGGUACUGUUAGUAAUCCACUCAAACAAACCUCUACUACUACAUCGACUAAUAUUACUGCUGCUGAUGGUGGUUCUGGUACUUGUACUCCUGCCAUAAUACCACUGCUGACGACUCCCAAAGCUCAGAUGUCUGAGGGUUCCUGAACACACCAACUACGUAUCUCCAGCAGGUGGUUUACCUGUCGGCAUGACAGUAACAGGUAGAAAGCUGCGAUGCCGAGCGGCCAGAAGCAGCAGAGCAUGGAGAAGACACUGAGGCCCAGGUGAUCUCUGGGAGGCAUCAACAGGAAGGUGUCCUCGCUCUCUGAUUCGCUGGAGUAAUCACUCUGAAAACACACACACAGCUCCUCCAUCUCAGUUCUUUGAUGAAGCAGGUCGACAUCAAAAUUCAAGAGGUGUGUUAUUCUGCUGCUGGAGGCUGAACAUGAGCCACUCAGACAGAGGAGGAGGAGAACGAGAAGGAGGAGGAGGGCUGAAAAUGAAGGAUGGUUGACAGAGGAUGGAUGAGGAGUUGGGGGGGUCGAGGUGGGGGGGGGUUGAAGUCCUGUAGACUGUGCUGAUUUUAAGAAGUUUUUCUCGUUCACGUCAACACAGACUUUGACCCCAGCCCCUAGAGGACGUUAGAGGAACUGCAGCUCAACGGUUUUUCUCUUCACCAGCAGGAGGUGACGUAGAUAUUUCACAUGUUAAUGAAGCUCCACCUGCAGCAGAACAUGUUCCUCAGCCUCCAGGACUCAUGUUCUACGCCGAUGACACUCUUCACUUCCUGAAACAUUCAAAACCAAACUCAGUUUUUCACCUCGAGC